CGGCGCCUCCGAGGGGGCGGGGCGGGAGGGGAGGGGUCCUUCGGCUGCUCCGCACCCUUACCUCGGCCCUCCGCGCCUCCCGAGACCCCACUGCUCCGCGUCAGGCUGGCCGCGAGGGCGGGGUGGUGCCUGUGGCCGCGAGGCCAGGUGGCCGCCAGGAGUGGGGGGAUGCGGAGCUGGAUGUCUGGCAUGGGAGGAGAGGGGCGUUCGCCCGCCUGGGAAGCACCGCCGAAAGCCAGGAGUCAGUGGGCGCGGUGCGGCCAGGCCCCAGCUGAGAAAACAGCAGGGCAGGAGGUGGCCUCGCCUUGCAAGGAAGUGCAGCCUGGCUGAGACUCAGCCUGCGGCCACCUCCCUGGUCCUGCGUCCUUUCCCAAGGGUCUUCUUCCUGACACUGAAGCCAGCCUGGCAUCUUCCUGUUCCAGCCUCCAGGGUGCUCCCAGGAUCGGGCUCACCUCUGCACCUGGUAGCAUGGCCCCCAGCCCACCCUGCACCCUCCCACCUCCAGCUAUCUCCCAACUAGCAGGUUACUUGUCAGGCAGACAGGAUAGAGUAUGUGGUAAUGAGUCCUGGCUCCUGGCCUUUGCCUCUACCAUUCCACCUGCCAGGAAUGCCUUUCCUUUUCCUCUCUGCAAAUGCACUGUGGGAUCCUGGGUUGGAUCCUGGAACAGAAAAAAGGAUGGUAGUGGAAGAACUGGUAACAUUUGAGUAAAGUGAAGUUUAUUAAUACAAAGUACCAAUGUCGGUCUCUCAGUGUGACAACUGUGUCAGGACUGUGUAAGAUGUUAGCAUUAGGGGAAACUGGGUGCAGUCUACCGGAACAUUCAUCCUGUCUUUGCAACUUUUCUGUAAAUCUAAAACUAUCCCUCGGGCAGGGCCCGGUGGCGUAAUGGUUAAGUUCUCACGCUCUGUUUCCACGACCUUGGGUUCGCAGGUUUGAAUCCCAGGCGCAGACUUAGUACUGCUUGUCAAGCCCACGCUGUGGUGGCAUCCCACACAAAAUAGAGGAAGACUGGCACAGAUGUUAGCUUACUGACAAUCUUCCUCACAAAAAAU
rnacentral:lncRNA from 1 species